rnacentral:lncRNA from 1 species
GUGGGCCCACGAACGACCAAAAGUAUCAAAAGUGGUAAAUCUACAGUUUUUGAGGAUGCAAGUCCAACUGUAGCCCUCAACGAAAUGAGCUAUUUACCGACUAUCCUGAGCCUGAAAUGGGUGGAAAGGAGGGUGAUGAGAUUACAUAAUCUUAGUGAGUAAACAAAUACCAUCUAAAAUAUCUAAAGUUGAGUAAAUAGAGACAGAUAAAAUAGAUUAGCAUAAAAAUGAUUCACAACAUUCUGAACUCAUUUUAAUAAGAUAAAAUAGAUUCAUUUCACCCAAAUAAACAACGAGGCUUAUGAUUUCCUGAAAAGCUUAGCUCGUGCUAAAUCAUUCUCAUACGCAGUUAUCAGGGAUACCUUGGCCUGGGGCUAUCCCAACCGAGUCCACCAAGGUUGUUAAAAAAAAAGUCAUGUACGCAUAAAUCAUGUUUUUAUUUUGAAAACAUAGCCGUUCCUUGGCGUUGGUUGAAUUCACCCUCAGUGGUGGUUUGGCGUGAAGUGAACUCUAAAGUUGUACCUUAGGAGUUACCCUAAACGCCUCUUCGAUAGAGGUAAGAAUAUAACGGGAUUCCGUGCCUCUCAAAAAGGCUAGUCCAUAGAACCUGCCCACUGCAGCAAGCUAAACCCACCAUACAAUAAAAUUUGUGAUAGCGACAUGGCAAUUAUUUAUUUUACAGCCUCUCAAGGCAAAUCAACAGUUCAUACAUUUUCAGCACAUUUACCAAUUCAACCAUUCAUGCCAAUAUUAUCAUAAGCCAUUCAAUUCAAAUCAUGAUUUAUAACACAACAAUUAGUCUCAUAUUACUCUAUUUUCAAAACCAUCUUUUAAUUUCAAGACAAUUUCAUAAAAUCAUUUCAUUUAAUCACAUUUUGCUUAUAACUCAUAAAGAUUUACCAUUUAAACUCAUUUUUUUUAUCAAAUCACAAAAAAACCAACAAAAACUACUUUAGAUAAUUAAGACGAUAAUAAGGUUACUCACUAUUUCGGGAGUCGAAUUUCGAGUACUCCGAUUCUUAAUGCUCGGGUACUAUCUCUUUACUAGUGCCAGAAAGCUCACCACCUAGACAUAAUGCACAAUAAGCCAGUUACUACAUUUGUGCUAAACCGUUGUAAAACCAAUUCAGGCUUCAUACUAAUGUAUGAAAUGGGAUGUGAAAUACUCGGGUCACUAUCUAAAUACGGUGUUCAAUAUAAAUUCAAUUAUGUACCUAAAUAAAAUGGUAUUGGCCUAAUUUGAUCUAUCACUCAAUUAAUUGGCCAAUAUGUCCAAUUCAACUACAAUUAACUCCAUUUUUCUUCCAAUUCUCCAAACCAUCAAACACAAGUCAAAUAGCAUAAAAUUUAGUAAAAUCAUCUUCACAUUUUCUCUUGAGGAUUUCGGCCAUGGUGGGUGCAUCAAUACUAUGAUUUUUCCUACUUGAUUUUCUCACAAUAAUUCAUCAUUUCCUAACCAAUUCACUUGAAAUAAAAUCAAAUCCACCAUCCACACUUUACAUGGAAGAUUCGGCCAAUGAUGUGCAACGACCUCUCCCUGGUUGUUGCCGGCGUCCAAGACUUUCGAAAAAGACCCGCCAAGUCUCGAACAAGCUUGUCCAGAAUUUGCUCGUUAAUUCACUACAUUCAAUCACCAUAUAAUAUUGAUACUUUCAUAUACUAAAUUGAACCAUAAAUAUAAAAAUCAAUACAAACUUUUUCCUUUUAUUCGUAAGUAUAUGCAUUAAAAUCUAUAAUCUCUAAAUUAAUGCUUGUAUAAAAAUUUGGAAUUCGUUCACAACUUAAUAAAUAAAAUGCUACGACUUGACCUUUUACAGCAGAGCGACUUGGAAUAAAUUGCUAGGAGAUGCCUUUACCUAAUCACGAUGGACUGAACGCGUCACUGACUACACGCUAGGCUGAUCCCUAUCUGUAAAAGGGGAAAAAAAGGGGUGUGAGUCUCAUAGACUCAGUGAUAAUCAUCGACUCAGCGAGUAGGGCAUAGAUAGGAAACAAGCAAAUGACAGAUCAGUUGAAUAUAAAAAUGCAAGAUUAUUAAAGCAACUUGUUUCAAAUGAGGGUUUGUGCCUUAUAUAAAAAUCGAGAAUUUCUUAUAAAGUAUAAAUAAUCGAGGUAAUAAAAUUUUUCACAUCAAAAUAUAUUAAUAAUCAUUUUUGAAUUAAAUCAAUAAAAUUUAGCAAGCUCCCGCAGAAUCAAAUAAUAUUUAAAAUCAUGCCCAAAUCAUAACUCGCCCCAUAUGCGAGGAAUUAUAGAUUCAUUUCACAGAUAAACAUAUAGGGGAGCUGCGAAAAACCAUUUAAUUCCAUUUUCACCAUGCAGAGAAAUAUAAUUCAUAAUAUUAAAACUUAUUUCAACUCAUAUAAAACCAUUACAUUUUUGUCAAAAACAAACAACAUGGCUUCUAACUUUCUUAGAAACUUGGCUUGUAUCAAAAUCAUUCUCAUACUCGAUUGUCAAGGAUACCUUUGCCUGGGGCUAUCCCAACCGAGUCCGCCAAGGCUGUUAAAAAGUCAUGUACGCAUAAAUCAUAUUUUUAUUUUGAAAACAUAGCCGUUCCUUGGCGUUGGCUGAGUUCACCCUCACGUGGUGGUUUGGCGUGAAGUGAACUCUAAAGUUGUACCUCGAGAGUUACCCUACACGCCUCUCCAAUAGAGGUAAGAAUAUAACGAUGUUACCGUGACCCUCUAAUAGGCUGGUCCACGGAACCCGCCCACUGCAGCAAGUUAAACCCACCAUAUAAUAAAAUUUGCAAUAGCAUGACAUGGCAAUUAUUUUAUUUUACAUCCUCUCAAGGCAAAUCAAUAGUUCAUACAUUUUCAGCACAUUACCAAUCCAACCAAUCAUGCCCACAUUAUCAUAAGCCAUUCGAUUCAAAUACAAUUUAUAACACAACAAGUAGUAGUCUCCAAUUACUCUUGAAUUUCUUGGUUAAAAUGAAAUCACCUUUUAAAAGAAUUUAAAUUUGAUCUUCAAGGGGAUAUUUUAAAUCUUUCUCAAAAUAUCGGUCCCCACAUCACGUUAAAACUCUCUUUUCGUAAAAUGUUCAUUGUAAAUAUUUGCAUGAUAUUUUGUAUCAAAAUAGCAUGGUGAAUAUGUAAUAAAUUUCAUGAAUGCACACCACACAAACGAUAAGGCACAAUUUCCUUUGAUGUAAAUCUUUUCGAAAAGCUUGUUUCCCGGUUUAAAAUACUUUACGUCUAAUAUAUAUGUAUAUUUCAAAUGAUUUCUAAAAAUAACUUACACCCAUAAUUCCUUAAAAUUCUAUCAAUGCAUGCUUUCCAUAAAUUUUGCACUUCAUGUAAAAUAUACGUACAUGUAUAUAUAUACGAAAUUUUUAAAAUUGACACCCCCUACUCACCUCAUAAUAGUGGGAUAUUACUUCACUAUUGAUUCGUAUACGUAUAUAAUUAUUCCUAUUUGUCGGUCACAUACUUCGUUCGACACGCCUCCAUGAGAAACUUUCCUAGCAACAAUUUAAACUGAGUAUACUUAAUCACACAUUUGUAUGGGUAGCAACUUAAUUAAAAAUUCCUUAAGCAACUUACAUAUUUUUUAUCCAAAAUAUGCACAAUAUUAAACUACCCAUAAACCUUAAAAUAUAACAUUAACUUACCAUUGGGCCUUUUUCAUUUCUUUAUGACCUUUGGGCCCCCUCUUCAUGGGCUUUUCCAAUUUUUCCUAUUUGGGCUAAGCCCAUUUAUCUCCUAUUGGGCCAUCCCCUUUUUAUUUUCUACUUGGGCCAUGCCCUUGUUUUUUCUCUCAUCCACAUUCUUCCUUUUUCUUCUCGGCUUGGCAGAUUUUUCUCUCUUUUUCAAUCGAGCGUUCUUUUUCUUUUUUCUUCUCCUUGGCUCGUUUUCUUCCUCUUCCGGUGGCAGCACUUUCAGCUCUCUUUUCCUUAAAAAUUUGGUAGCACCAAGCUGCCUUUUCUCCCUCAAAUUGGCAGCAUAACGCUGUCCCUCAAUGGCAGCAAAACCUCCAAAAUUUAUAGCAGCAAAUUCACACAAUUUCAGCACUAUCUUUGGAGCGAUUGGGCCUUUUCAAGCUAACCAAUCCAAUUCCAUCCCUAGUACACCCCUUUGAGCCUAAAUUUAUCAUUUUCUUUGUCAACCAUAAAUAAAUUAUCCUAACUUGUAAAUAAAUUUCCUAUACCUCUACCUUUACUCCAAAACAUGUACAUUGUUUUAGGAUUUAUAUAUAUAUAUGGGUCAAAUAUUGAAAAAGUAGAAAUGAUGAGUUUAGAAAAAUUCCAACCAUGAUGAGAAACAUUUAUUCUACUAACAUCAAAGAAAACAAGUUUGGGGGAUGUUGGAUUAUGAAUAAAGAAAAUGCUUGAUGAAUGAAAAGUGAAAAGAGAAAGAAAAAGGAGUACUUGGUAAAGGAAUAUAAGGCUAUAUAGAUCAUAGAAUAAUUAUUUGCUUAGGGUGAUUUGAGUCGUAAUAUAUCCCAUAUCAUGCCUUAAUCCUAGCAGAACAUUAUAAGUUAAAUAAAGUCCUAAGGAUCCAUAGCUAAGUGAUGGCCUACAUUAGUGGAGAGGGAGGUGAAAAAAAAACAUAUGAAAUUCUAAACUUGUUGAGAUUUGCAUGACCAUAAUUUUUUUCGAAGUGCAUAAUGUUCAUUGUAAGAAACUUCACACACACAAAGAAACCCAUUUGAAAAAUAAGCAUGCAUUUGGACAAAACAUGAACUUAGAUAAUAUAUAUGUUUGAUUUUGAGUUAGGAAGACAAGGCAAUUUAUGAAAAAAUUAAAGAUGGUCAAAGAUUUGGUGCAAUCUCAAAGUUGAUGUCUUCAACUACAUUGUUUCAUUUUAGGUUUCUGCUUGAGGACUAGCAAAACAUUAAGUUUGGGGUGUGAUAACUCGAUUACAUAGAGUUAUUUAGCCACAUUUUGGGAUGUCAAUGUAGCCAAGUUCUUGUGUUUUAAGUAGAUUUUACAUAGUUCUUAUGUUUUCAGUUGAUUAGUUUAAAGAAUAUUAACCUAGUUUAAUUCAAGUAAUUCUAAUUUAUUUUCAUGUUGAAAGUCCUAUUUGAAGCCAGUGCUGAUUUAGUCCUUGUGUUGUAGGUUUUCAAGUGCAUAUUAUGCAAUGGAGACUAAGUGUAGAUUUUCAAUAAACAUGUUGUAGUAAUUUGGAAAUAACUUGAGCUGCAGAGAUGCAAUCAAUGUGAUUUUUGAACCAUAGGAAAUCUAAGAGGCAGAAUUACAACUUUCAUGUUUAUUAUUUCACCCAGAUCAGCCUUGAGGUAGGAGAAAAUCAUGUUGAAAGAUAAGGCACUACAGUUGUUUGCACCAAGGUAGCACAAGUAGAAGUAGUGCCAUGGCCUUGUUGAGCACAAGGCUAUAGUGCCUCGUAGAAGCAGCAUCUUCCAUACAAUUUCCCAAGAGUCCAGCACCGCAGCACCUAAAGAGAAGUGCCAUGGUGCUAGAUGAAAAAUGAACAAAAAAUAUAUAUAACAUAAGAGUGCCGUGGCACUUUAACCUGGAUUACUAAUUUGCAGCCAAUAAGGAAAUGAGUUUUUAGCAUUUUCUGGAGGCUAUAAAUAGGUCUUUUUCUGCAGCUGAGAAGGGAGGUUCAAAGAUACAAUGAACGACGGUUUUUGAGAGAAAAAAAAAGGCUUUCCAAUGAGAGAAAUGAGAAGAAAUUGAAAAAAUUAAGGAUCAAGAAUCGAAAGAGACUUUGAUAUUUCUUUCUUAUUAUUUUGUUGUAGAACUGAUCUUUUCUCUUGAUUUAAUUAUGUCUGUUGUAAAAAACAAUGAUGAACUAAUUUUGUUUUCUACAUUUAUUGCUUUUCAUUGCUUGAUCACUAGUUGAAAUGUAUUGCAUCUCUAAAUGGAACUUGAAAAAGGGAGUUUAGAAUAAACCAUCAUUUUGGAUAGCCUUUGUUCGAUUCACUUCAUAGUUAGGUGAUAGUUUCGUGUUUAGGAUAGAUAUAUACCAAAAUACCUUAGGCAGCCAAAUUAGAACACAAACAUAAUGAACUUUUUCUAAUUAAUUUGUAUAGACAUAUGAGAUUAAUUCAGAAAGAUAAGUGUGCAUGAUCUCGAUAGAGACAUGUGCAUAAUGUGGAUUCUAGGUUAGCCACAUAUUCCAUUAAUCUAUGUUAAGAAGAAUGAUUUAAUUUAGAUGAAGUUUUGAAAAACACCAUAAUCUUAGGUUUUAAGUAAUUAUAUCUUUUAAUGAUAUUUUGUUCUUCGUUAAUUAUUUAAUAAAUUAAUUUUUUAAGGUAAUUAAUCAUUUGAAAUAAAGUGCCUAGAUAAGAUUACUUUGUUAUAAAUUUGAUACUUAGUUACAAAUAGAUACAAAUCUUUGUGGGAGCAAUACUCAACUUACCUUUAUAUCACUUGUACGGGCACGUGCACUUGCAUGUAUUAAUCUGACAACACAAAACUCACCUUUCAAGCAUAACCAUAAAUCAACACUCACAUUUCUAAGCAUAAUCAUAAAUCUUCACUAGCCUUUCCAAGCGCAUCAAAUAUCCCCAUGGUCUCCAAGUCCAUUAUCUUUCAAAUGAAUAAAGAAUCAAAUAAUCACAUAAUUUCGAAGUUUGUUGUCUUUCAAACGACUCAAGAAACAUAUGUCCACAAUAACCACUUUUUUGAUAUCUUUCAGACGAUAUGAGGAUAAAUAAAAUUGUUUUUUAUAAAACAUAAUUUGUAAAGUAGUUCAUAAGCCUUCAAAGUAAAUUUAAUAAUUUUGAAAUCCUUCAAACAAAAAGUUUAAAUACAAUUGCAUUAAACAUCAAGUUGAGAGUUUGAAACAUAAAUCAAGGUUAUUAAAGAUUUAGGUUUUAAACAAACACAUUUGCUUUUUUUUGGAAAAGCCUUUGAAAACAUUUAUAUUUCAAAAUAAACCUCAUCUAUCGAUAGAUCGAGCUUAUCUAUUGAUAAAUACCCUCGUCUAUCAAUAGAUCUUUGCAAUCUAUUGAUAGAUAAAAAUAUAAUGCAAUUCUAGAGGUUAUGUAUUGUAUCUAUCGAUAUAUGAUGAACAUGUAUUGAUAGAUUUGCUACAUAAAGCAAAAAUUUAGCCUAUAACUCACUACUAGGAACUCAACCAAGACUAUUAAUCACCUAUAACCAAGUAAUCAACAUUCAAACAUCAGAUACAUACUAUCCAUGAUAUAAAUUCAACAUAUCAAUCAUCAAUUCAAACAAACCAUGGAGGUACAAAUCAUAUAGACAUUGACUAAGAGGAAAAGGUAAGACUUAGUCAACUACCAAUACCAGCGAGUCUCAAGAAAACACCUCAACCGAUUCAAGCUGUAUAUCCUUAUGAGAUUCGAGAUACAACCUCAAUUGGUUCACCAAAACUCAUUAUGCACAAUGGCUAGCACCUACUGUCACUAACUACAGGUCUUUAUUCCAAUAGGCUUCAUUAAACAUAAUACAACAAUUCAAUGUACAGGGUAUAAUCAAUCGAUAGAUGAAACCAAUCACUAAAAAAUAUAAAGGUUGAGAAGUAACAAACCACAAUCAGUCAACCAUAUCAACAUUAUGCAAUUAAAAGACCAUAAACACCAUGGCCUCAUCGAAGAGAAAACAUUUCUAGCAUUUUGCAUUUUUAAAACCAUCAAUCAUACAUCAAUCAUAGACAAAUCAGAUGUUUGAGAUAGAAAUGAUUUGAGAGGCUUGUUCACCAUGCUCAAAACUAGUGCAUAGUAGACUAUAUAUACUUAGUCUAUAGUUUUCAUCAAAACAUACUUGUAAACGAGUUUUCAUUGCAUAAUCUCAUUGAAAUCCAUUUAUAUGUAAGGCUAUAAUAUAGGUAUGCUUAAUUAUAUAAAAUAAUUAAAACGUCGCAUCUACCUAUCUCAAAGAAGGGUGGCAUGCUUUUUAGAACUUGUUGUCAAACACGCGGUUCUCCAAAAAUUCAAACUUUCUCCACAACACUUACCAUGAAGUUUUCCAUCAUUAGUACUUAGUUUUAUAACAUAAUCUUAGUCUAAUAAUCAUCUAGCAUUCCACAAAUAAUUUUGCAAUAGUCCUUUAAUUGAGAGAUCAAUAGCUAACCUAACUUUAACUAAAGGAUUUUAGUCUACUUCUAGCUAGAGUUAAGACAACUUUACCUUGGUGAGCUUGAGAGUUCCAAAAUUGACCGAAAACCAAAGUUUUCAUGAGUAAAACAAAUUUAUGAGAACCCAUAAAUUUAUGGAAAUAAAACCUUUUACUUUCCAAUACCCUUUAGAAUCAAAGUUUAAGCUUGAAAAUGGCUUCUAGAAGCUUGAAAUCAAUAGAGUUGUUAAAGAUAGAAUUUGAGAGAAGAAAGUAAGAGGGUGGUUGGCUGUCCAAGGAAAACCUCAUUUUUUCCAAGUGGGGAAAAGUUUAAGGGUUUAAGGCUUUUAAAAUGAGGGGGAAAAGACAAAAAUGGCUUUUUUUUCUAGUUAAGACCCAAUCAUCGAUAGAUUAAGCGUAUCUAUCAAUAUAUUUGUCCAUAUAUCGAUAAAUGGGCUUAUUAUCGAUAGAUGUUAUUCAAAAUCAUUUUUGGGUUUGAUCAUCAAUACAUGAUGAACAUGUACCGAUAGAUAUGGUUCAGAAUGCUAUUUUGCAAUUGAAACUAUCCCAUUUGACCCUCUAAUGGUCCCAACAUUCAAAUUGACAUGUAUGUUUAUUAAAACAUGAAUUUUCUAAGUCAAAAUGGUUCCAAAUCAUGUUCAAAAACAUCAAUGGAUAUCUCACCAAGUAAAGUUAUAAUUCUAACUUAAUUUAGGAAAUGAGUUUUCACAUUCUCUCCUUUUUACAAAAAUUCAUCCUCGAAUUUAGGGGAACUAGUUACUAACCUCAAUUCUUGAAUAGGUGAAGGUACUUUCCAUGUAUCUUGUUGUUAGCCUCCCAAGUUACCUCCUUGCUAGAGUGAUUGUGCCAAAGAAUCUUCAUUGAAGCUACAUCCUUAUUGUGAAGUUGCUUCAAUUGCCUAUCUAAAAUCUCAAUCGAUAUUUCCUCAUAUGACAAGUCAUCUCCCAACUAAAUCUCUUUAUGACAAAUCACAUGAGCUAAAUCGGUGUUAGGAAUUUUGAGAAUAUGGUGCCUUGGAAAGCAAGUAUAUUCUCAUGUUUAAUUUCAUUUAAUUUAUUUGUAAUAAAAGUAAAUUUUGAUAAUAAGACAAAGAGUUUGUUUUAAGCAAGCAUUCAUUAUCUAGUUAUUAAGGUACCAUGAUUCUGUUGAGAUAUUAAAAUACAUUUGUAUGAAGUGUCAUACAUAGGAGACACACAUUUUAAUUGAAUCUAAAAACUGUUCACAACUAUAUAAUAAAGCUGGUCACUUUAUUAUGUUAAGGCUAUAGUGUUCAGAUUACUUCCAACGAAACAAAUAUGACUGAUUUCAAGAGAAUGAUGAGUCUCAAAUCAUCAAAAUGGUUAACUUUAAGUAAUGACACUAUAACAUGAACUAGAAUCAUGUGAGAAUCAAAUUUAAGUUUAACCGUUACUUAAAUCAUGAUCUCACAAAUAUGCAUUUGCUUAUAGUAGAACCGAAAUCCUGAUGCACUGUGGAUUCGUGUUUAAUCUUAUAAUACCCCGUACUUUGAUAUGGUAACUAAUAAAGAUUAUCAGAUGUUAAUUAAGGUUAAUUAUAAUGUUUAAAAGUGAUGAAAGACGAAAGGGAUAGUUUGGGAUAAAACAUUCCGCACGCAAGAAAAUAAUAAUAAAAUAAUAAUAUUUUUGUCGAAGAAGAAUUUGCAAGAUAAAAAGUGAUUCGGAAGUCAAUUGAGGCAUAAUAAGGAAUUUUGGGUACCAAGGGGAUGAGAGGAGACAAGAGAAAAUUUUUGGAAUAAAAUAAUAUUUUAUUAAUAAAAUAAUAUUAAGAUGUUAAUAUUUUAUUCAGUGUCAAAAUUUUCCAUCAAGAAGGAGUAUAUGGUCAAUCUAAGUGGGGGAGAAGUAGAAUGAGAGAAUUUUGGAGAAAAAUGACGUUAAUGGGGCUGCGUGCCUUUAUUAAGUAAAGAUAGCACAGGUAAAUAAAUAUUUUAAAUAUUAUGGGGACAACGCAUUGGAGUACAAACUUCAUACUUUGUUUGUACAUGUGUAGAAAAAGGUAAUAGAAGGAAAUUGGAGUUAAAUGGGUGUUGGGAGGACUAAAUUAAAAUGGAAGGAAACAAAAAGGGCAAAACGGUUAUUUUAUAUAAAGUUUGGUCAAAGCUUACAAAGGAAGCUUUGACUCUGUUUUUUUAGGCCAAAACCGAUCUUUUCCUUUCCCCCACCAGAUUUUUCUUCUUCUUCAUCCAUGCUCCACGCCAUUCUUGAAGUUUCCAUGCCAUUUUCUCUUUAUCCACCAUGAAAUCAAGUUUUCUUCACUUUCCUUUCCAUGUUUUCUUUUCCUUUCUUCUCCAAACUUCUUGAGCACUAAAUUUACAACCUUUAACCCCAAUUUCCAGCACAUCUAAAUCCUAGGAGGAGAAGAAAGAAAAAGAGAGAAAGGAAGAAAAAGCUUGGUUUUGAUGAUCCAAGCAAGAAACGGUAAGAAUUCUUGUUUUUGGCUUGAGUAGUCUUUGAAAAUGAGUUAGUGACUUAGAGAAAUGUCUUGUGGCAGCAAAGAUUGACUUGAUUGGAGAAAAAUUGAUAACAUGUAAGCCAAUAAACCCAUGGGUACAUGAAGGACUCAAAGUGGAAAAGGAAAAUGGUAAGCUUAACACUAUGUUUUAAAGCCUACGGUUAGUUGAAUAUUGUGAGGAAUUAUGGUUGUUGAAAGGAUUUAUUUGCCUAAGCUAGAUGAAAAUUAUUAAGAUUGUAUGGCAUGUUGUUUGAAAGAAAUGAAAAAGGAAUAUUGUGGAUGGAGGAUUGAGAAACAAAGUAUUGAAAGUUAGAUAGAUAACGAUGCGUGUAAACUAGGAAAUAAUCGAAUGAAAGUGAGAAUGAUUGUUACUACCAUAUAUGUGGAUUAUGUGUGGAAAUAUAAGAUGGAUUUGGGUGGAAAUUAUUUAGAAAGGUUGAAGUAGGCACGUGACAUCAUAAUUAAGUUACCAGUGAUAUAAUCUAAGGAAUUACGUAGGUAAUGGAUAUAAGUAAUUUUAGUACAAAUGUAUUAAGAUGUGAGUUAAUUGAAGAUGGUUUCAUUAUAGGAUGAAAAAUAUAAAUUUGAGUAAGGAUUAAUUGAUUGAAGUAUACAUAUAUAAUUAAACAUAUUGAGUUCGUAUUAUUGUUAGGAAGUGCAAAGAUAAGGUUAGGGUACUAUGGUGGCGUGCCAGAGUAAACAUCGAGCGACCAGCCAGUGAAAAUAAUCAGAGACACCUUCGAUCAAAUAGCGAUGUAAUAUCCCGCUAUAGUAAGUGUCACAGCCCAAUUUCCAGGCCAUGACCAGUGCAAGGGCUCGAUGGGCUUAGCCUACUAAGCCAAAGCAAGCCUACUUAAUUGAUCUUAUACAUUAAUCCCUAUUCCUUUAGAAUCCAAAGCUCGAAAUGUUCAAAUACUGUUUCUUUGAAAACAAUUCAUAAAACCCAAUCUUACAUUCAUAAUGGCAUCAUCCACCAAUGUAUUCAUUAAUAGAUUAACAUUGAUUCUUAAUGUUCACAUUAAAUAUUCACAUACACAUAAUUAGACCUUGACCGUCAGCGGAGUGACUCUGGGCACGAUUGAUAACACUUAGUAUCACAUUAAACCUACCGAGCAAUGUACAGGGAGGAGCACCUCGUCUUAGGAUCCAAUCACCUUUAACUCAGGAAACCUAAAACAUGAAUUUUAAAAAUGUGAGUAUAAACUCAGUGACUGAACAUAGGAAAGGAACAAGCAUCAAUACGGGAGGUUUUAGAAAUCAUGAUGCAUUUAUGUUGAAGACAAUGCAAUUUAACUCAAUUUCUUGUCACAAUGGAAAUCUAUCUUUGCUGUGGUGAAAAUCAAGUGGAAACCGUUUCUCAAGUUUUAACAUUCAAAAAUCAAUGCAACCACAAUAUAAUUUCCAAAACCUCUAUAUAUAUAUAUAUAUAUAUAUAUAUAUAUAUAUGUAACCACCGGCUUCACCCCCAACUCUAUCUCAACUUAUGUGCACUACCACACCGCACAUGGCUGGGUCAGCACAGCUCAUGUGCACUCCUACACCACACAUGGUUGGGUCAGCACAGCUCAUGUGCACUCCUACACGGCACAUGGCUGGGUCAUAAUUAUCACACAAAAAUAUCAUUUAAUGUAUAAUAUAAACAUGAACUUAAUGUAGAAACUCAUGAAUUCGUCAUGUUCAUAUCUCAUAAUAUCAAAACAUUUCAUCAAGGGCUUGUCCCCAUGCAGCUUUUAAAGAAAAACCAACAAAAUAUUUCAAGUGGCUCAAUUAAGCAUAAAAUCAUUUAUUCCAAAACAUUUUAAUGCAAGUUCACUCACCUGGCAACAACGAGAUAUUAAGUUGCUAUUUGUUUGGAGGUGUCUCUAACUAUUAUCAUUGGCUGAUCGCUCGUAAUUUAUUUCGGCACGCCCCCACAAUACACUAACUUUAUCUUUGCACUUCCUAGCAAUAAUACGAACUCAAUAUAUUUAAUUACAUAUGUAUACGAGCAGCACUUCAAUCAAUUAAUCAUUACUCAAAUUUAUAUUUUUCCUUCUAUCAUGAAACCAUCUUCAAUUAACUCACAUCUUAAUACAUUUUUACUAAAAUUACUUAUAUCCAUUGCGUACGUAAUUCCUUAAAUUAUAUCACCGGCAACUUAAUUAUGAUGUCACGUGCCUACUUCAACUUUUUUAAAUAAUUUCCACCCAAAUCCGUCUUAUAUUUCCACACAUAAUCCACAUAUAUGGCAGCAACAAUCAUUCUCACUUUCACUCGAUUAUUUCCUAGUUUACACGCAUCGUUAUCUAUCUAACUUUCAAUACUUUGUUUCUCAAUCCUCCAUUCACAAUAUUCCUUUUUCAUUUCUUUCAAAUGACAUGCCAUAUAAUCUUAACAAUUUUCAACUAGCUUAUGCAAGUAGACCCUUUCAACAACCAUAAUUUCCCACAAUAUUCAACUAACCGUAGGCUUUAAAACAUAGUGUUAAGCUUACCGUUUUCCUCUUCCACUUUGAGUCCUUCAUGUACCCAUGGGUUUAUUGGCUUACAUGUUAUCAAUUUUUCUCCAAUCUAGCCAAUCUUUGUUGCCACAAGAGAUUUCUUUAAGUCACUAACUCAUUUUUAAAGACUACUCAAGCCAAAAACAAGAAUUCUUACCGUUCCUUACUUGAAUCACCAAAACCAAGCUUUUUCUUCCUUUCUCUCUUUUUGUUUCUUCUUCUCCUAGAGUUUAUAUGCGCUGGAAAUUGGGGUUGAAAGUUGUAACUAUGGUGCACAAGAAGUUGGGAGAAGAAUGAAGCAAGAAGAGAUAAGAAUUGAAAAGAAAACAAGGAAAGAAAAUGAAAGAAAAUUAGUUUUCCAUGGGAGAAUGAGAGAAUGGCGUUGGAAGCUUCAAGAAUGAAGAAGAAAAUAUCUUGCUGGGAGGAUAAGGACUGUUUUGGGCUGAUAAGGAUGAGAGUCAAAGCUUCCUUUGGAAGCUUUGACCAAACUUUAUGCAAAAUUAUCAUUUUGCCCAUUAAGUUUCUUUCCAUUUUAAUUUAGUCCUCCCAAUACUCAUUUAACUCCAAUUUUCUUCUAUUAUCUUCUUCUACAUAUGUACAAACAAAGUAUGAAGUUGGUACUCCAACGCAGUGUCCCCAUAAUAUUUAAAAUAUUUAUUUACCUGCGCUAUCUUUAUUUAAUAAAGACACGUGGCCCCAUUAACAUCAUUUUUCUCCAAAAUUUUUCUCAUUCUUCUUCUCCCCCACUUAGGUUGCCCAUAUACUCCUUCUUCAUGAAAAAUUUUGACACUGAUUAAAAUAUUAAUAUUUUAAUAUUAUUUUAUUAAUAAAAUAUUAUUUUAUUCUAAAAAUUUCCUCUUGUCUCCUCUUGUCCCCUUGGUACCCAAAAUACCUUAUUAUGCCUUAAUUGACUUCCGAAUCACUUUUUAUCUCACAAAUUCUUCUCUGAAAAAAAUUAUUAUUUUAUUAUUAUUUUCUCGUGUGCGGAAUAUUUUAUCUCAAGCCAUUCCUUUCAUCUUUCAUCAUUUCUAAACAUUAUAAUUAAUCUCAAUUGGCAUCCAAUAAGCUUUAUUAGUCACCAUAUCAAAGUAUGGGGUAUUAUAGUCUCCCCCACUUAAAUAGAAUUUGUCCUCAAAUUCACGUCAGUGUCGAGUUAUCAAUCUUUCUCUAUGAUCUUAUUCCUUUUCCUUCUUCAUAAGGAAUUUUGAUUUAUGAACUUCAUUACCUUCAAUUUGACUAGAACACUUUACAAGAUCAGGGUACGUAUCUUAUAUCUAUUAUCAUAUUUGAGUCAAAACCACAGUACCCUUCUCAAUUAUUCUUUCUUAUCACUAAGAUCCCAAGUAUGCCUUUAAUUCCAUCACUAACCUCAAACAUAUCUUUAUUUUGAUUCUUGUCAAACCUCCAAUCAUUCAUUCACCUUGUUUACCUCUAGGUCGACUAGAAUGCCUCACUUAUGUCUGUUAUCAUCUUUUAGAAUCAAAUCGAUGGUAGCCUUUAUGAUCAUUAUCUCUUAUUUUAAGAUGUUGAGUACGCUUUUAUCACUAUCAUUAAAUUUGAACCAUAACUCUAUCUCAAUCAUACCGAUUUCAAUCACAUAUUAUACUUACUUAUGUAUGCCUAAUCACCAUCUUAUUAUUUCGCUCCUUGCCAAACUUCUCGACAUUCAUUCAUUCAUCUUAUCCCCAUACACUAUUAUGUAACCUGCAGCAUUAUAAACAUGCCAUAUUCAUUUCUAUACAUAGUCUCAACGUCAAAAAAGGUUAAUGCCUCUAAUUAUUCCCACAUAUUUCAGGUUUAUCUUGCAUUUACGCCACAUACUUCAAUUAUUCUCACGUUAUGGAUUACAUUUCUUUAAUCUCAUUUCUCUGACUAUUUUUCCUGAACUUUCUUAUAUCAUCAUAGUUCAACUUCUAAUGGGACUUCUUGCCAUUGUACCAUCUAUACAACUCAUCAAAUACAUAAAGUUCAAAUCUCAAAUUACUGAGAACAAUUCUUUACCUCAAUUGGUCAAGUCAUCAAUUUCACAUAUACAUGUGUACCUGUAUUUCCAAAUGUCAGCAUUCCUCGUUACACAUAGGGAUCCAUGGGUUCGCAUGCCUUGGACUACAUCUUCAUUUAUUCAUCCCCAUCCCUAUCCAAGAUUCAAUAUAAUAAUCCUCAUAGUUCAUGUCAACGUUCUCAUAUUUAAUCUAUGUGCAUUGGGGUAUAGUCAAUUUCAGAUUACCCUUUUAUAUAUUUAAAUCACUGUUCCACUCGCAUCUUACCAUAAGUUAUCUCUUAUGUAAUCCAUAAGAAUUCUCAUUAUGCCUAUGCAUAGCUUCACAUACUUUUCAUGCCCAUACUCUUUUCUUAUCAUUUCCAAUUAUACGCUUAAGUUUCAUUGUACUAUAUAUCCUUGCAUCACAAUGUCAUUAAUCACAUCUCACUCGCCAAAUGUCAUUUUCAUUAAAUUGCAAUCCAGUAUUCGUAUAUGCUUUAUAACCUUGUUGAUCCUUCAAAGAUUUAUCUCUUACUUGAUCAUUGCAUCUUAUGGAAUACCACAAUCUCUAAAAGUCAUCCUUAUUUCUCAAUUAUUCUUCAUACCUUUAAUAUAUACAUAACAUCCUUGUUGCAUUUCGACUUUAAUGAAUCACUUAAAAUUUAGACUCAUUCAAAUCGUGCAUGCCUUAAGCAUUUUCGAAUUCCAAUUUCUAUACUACCUUAAGAAGUUUUCAUUAUUGGAUUUCAUUAUCCAAAUUAUCUUCGAUCAUCCUUUGUUCUAUUCUUUCAUACUAAUAUGACAUCAUUCUCCCCGGACCAAUCCAUAGUUUGUAUUUGAUACUGCAAGACUUGAAACAAGGUUCUUCUUAAGAAUUUGUUUUUUCAAUGUCAAUACGAAUCUCAUUUUCAACUUACAACUUUUUCUUUGCAACUACAUAACUUAAUGCUUGCUUUCACAAGAUCCAUAGCAGAACUACUCUUGAGUAUUUCCUUGGGGAUACUUAUCUUAAACUCAUGUCUCACCGCAUGUGAUUACUUAACCCGUGACUUAACCAUUAGGCUCCUCAGCAAGUUUCAAAAAUCCCACAUUUUAUACUUGUUGUGUAUGAUUGGUAAUUCCUUCUCAAAGAGGUUUGUGCAUUCCCGAAACACUUAGUCUCUUAUGUGCUCCUUAACAUCCCGAGCAUGUCAUUCUAUAGACAUGCACUUAUUCUUAAAGAUAUAUAAAUACAUACUCGUCCAUUCAAUCCCCAAUUUAUCUUCAUAGGUUUAUAGUGUGCCACACAAUUGGCCUUGUGUUGUUACUAACCCUUUUCAUUUAGUUGAGUCAAGACAACAAUUUUAAAUUCUCAUAACAAUAUUCUAGAUAAUCCCAUUUGCUAUACCACCCUUGUAAUCCUUCAUUCACACUUUCAUUACUUGGUAUUGACAUCCCUUACCCAUCUCUCAUAUAUUCAUCUAACUCUUCACUCACUUUUCCUUAGCCUUUAAUAAGGCUUAAUUUCUCGUGUCCUUUAUUUCUUAGGAUUUGACUUUGGUCAGCAUAUUAUCCAUCUUAAUACUUCACAUGAUAUCUUAUCUCAAUGUAGCCAUUUCAAGAAUCUUUCAAUUUCUCUUUUAAUUAUAUGCCCAUAUACAAGGCGAUAAAGAAACUUUUCAAUUCAUUCAUGUAAACAUUCUCCGAAACAUUUAAAACUCCCAAAUAGCAGAGCUCAAUGACCAAUGACCAUAAUUCAACUUGUAAGAUCAUUAUCGUGCCACUCCCAUCUUGCUCAUGCAUCAUAGACAUGAGGUAUUCGUAGCGCUGCGGUGCUGGACAGUUAGUGCUGUAGCAUCGCGGCUGCUAGACAUGGGAUAGUUUCAACGCUACAGCGCUAAAGAGUUAGUGCUAUAGCAUUGUGGUUGCUGGAAUUUUCUUCCACGAAUAUGUUCUUCCAUCUUUAAAGUUACUACAGGGAUCAUGCUCAACCAUUUGGCUUUCCUCCAGGCCUAUCCCAGAAUCUUCAUGACCAGGCAUAUCUUUUCUUUUGCUUAUCAUAUGCACUAAGCUGAGUCAAUAUUUUCAAGCUCUUUUUUAUCCUUUAACAUUUAUCUUUGACCAAUAGGUUCCACCUUAGGACAAUCUUGCCAUAUUGUGCAUCAAAUUCUCAAUAUAUAAUACCACACACAAAAAUAUCCACCAUUUAUGACAUUCCACAAUUCCUUAACAUUCACAAUUAAUUGUCUUUCUUGUCAUGUAACUCAAAUAGUUCUGUUGACUUUCAAUACAAAUGACCAUGAAAAUUGUCAUGACCCGGAAUUCCUAUCGAGCUCGUGACAACCGCCGCGAUAUCUCGAUUGACAUUCAUUACCCGGAAUGCCAACUGAAACCUUGCAAAGCUUUCACAUUAGUUUUACUUCGCCCCUGUGAGCAACAGCUAUUAAAUACCAUGUUUUAAAGAAAUAUAGACUAAUUUCAAAUCAAAAACAAUAAAAAAGCAAUUUUUACUACACAGGGGUAUUUUGAUCAUUUUACCUAAAAUUUUCAAACCCUGGUAAAAAUAUGAUAUACGAGUAAUAAGCAUCCAUUUCAUGUCUAAAAAUAAGUUUCGUUGUCUAAUUCAUCAAUUUAAUGUGAAAUUAUAGCUAUUCAAAUUAAAUAAAAAUAUUAAAUAAAAUAUUUCAUUUUCUUAUAAAACAAUAUUUAUAGAACUUUGCGUAAAUAAUUUUUGUAACAUAAAAGCAAAAUAAAUUCAUACAUACAGUGGCACACGUAGCCAGGUAUACAAAAUAUUCUACAAUGAUAUGUGGGCCUCUAAAAUAACAAAAAAUAUACAAGACUGUAGACCUUCGAUUUCUAAGGAUGCAAUCCAAAAGCAACCCUCGACAAAAUCGGCUAUCUACAGACUGUCCUGAGCCUAAAAUGGGUAAAAAGAAACGGUGAGUUUUUAUAAACCUAGUGAGUAAGCAAAGUUCAUCUACAACAUCUAAAGUCGAGUAAAUGGAGACAGUUAAAUCAUCCCAUCAUAAUAUAAUUCAUAACAUUCCAAAACUCAUUUCAAUUCAUAUAAAACAAUUACAUUUCAUCAAAAUAAUCAACAAGGCUUAUGAUUCUCUUAAAAACUUGCCUUGUGCCAAAACUCAUACUCGAGGACACCUUGGCCCGUGCAUCCAACCGAGUCCACCAAGGAUGUUAAAAAGACAUAUACGCAUAAAACAUGUUUUCAUGUUAAAAACAUAGCCGUUCCUUGGCGUUGGCUGAGUUUCAUCCUCACGUGGUGGUUCGGCAUGAAGUGAACUCUAAACUUUACCUUAGGAGAUACCCUCCGCACCUCUCAUACUAAGGUAAAUAUAACGGGAUUUACCGUGCCCCUCUAAUAAGCUGGUCCACGGAAACCCGCCCACUGCAGUAAGCUAAAUAUAUAACCCACCAAAUCAAUAAAAUUUUGACAGCAUAACAUGGCUAAUAUAGUACUAUCCAACCUAUCAAUGUAAGACAAAACAAUUUAUAUAAUUCACAAAACCAUAAUUUCAGUCAUUCAUGCUAUCAUAAUUUCAUAGGCCAUCAAUUCAAAUUAUGUAUAUAUAUAUAUAAUACGAAUGUAUAGCCUCCACUUACUCUAUUUCGAAAAUCAACAGUUAGUUUCAGAAUAAUUUAUAAAUCUCAUUCAUUUAACCAAUAUUUAAAAUGUAAAACAUAAUAAUUUGCGUAUUAAGUGCCUUAUUCUUUAAAAUCUUAAAACAAGUAUAAACCACUUUAGAUAAUUAAGAUGAACAUCUGAUUACUCACUAUAAUGGGAAUUUGGAGUGGUAGGAGUACUCCUAUUCUCGAUCCUCUGGCACGAUAUCUUUGCCCUUAUCGGGGGGUUCAACACCUAUCUAUAAUACAUGAUACGUAAUUCAAUACAUUGGUGUCAAAUUGUUAUAAAACUAUUUCAAACUCUAUAUGAAUGCAUGAAGUUGAAUGAGAAAUAUUCGGAUAGUCACUUAAAGACGGUGUUCUAUGUAGGUUCAAUUGUGAUCAAAAGGAAUUUGUAUUCGACCUAAUUCGAACUAUACACCAUUGAUUUAACCAAAACAUCCAAUUCAACUCCAAAUAUAUUCAUUACACUUCCAAUAAUCUAAUACACCAAAGCAUUACAAUGAACUUUAUUUUUGACUAACUUCACCAUUUUUCGAAAUUCAUUCCGAUUCCGAACUAACAUACUAAUCAAUGUCUACACGGUCUUGUAAAUCCAUAUAUAUCAUUAGGAAUCAAAUCCAAGUCCAUUUACUAUGAUUUUCUCAGUUUCCAUCAAGCCAUUUUCUAAAGGAACUAUACUUUUCAAUAACCGAUUUUGAUAUCCAACAUCAUAAUUCAUCAAUUCCUAGCUAAAUAACAUGAAUUACAAUCAAAUCCAUCAUCAACAUGCCCUAUAGAAAAUUCGGCCAAAUGAGGGUGGUUGAAGAACAUGUGAUUUUCUUGCUUGUUUUUCCUUCAAACAUCACAAAAUGACUAAAAACACUAGGAUAUUAUGAAAUCUAGCAAAAUUCAUCACCAAAACUUCUCUCUCUAGGUUUGGCCAGCAAAGGUUCCCUCUUGAAAACUUGAAUUUCAACCAUGGAGAAUGAAAAAGAAUGCAUGGGAAAGCUAGAUCACAAGCUAAAAUAAAAAAAUCUUACCUUUACUUGCUUGAUUCCUUGAAAUCCAACAAUUUCUCUUGGAUUUUUCCUUCCUAGGGUUUGUUCUUCUCUUUUGCUCUUUGUUCCCUUGCUUGGCCAGCCAUAAGAGUGUGAAUGUGGCGGUUUUAAGUGAGUUUAUAUAGGCAAUUAAAAUAAUAUUAAAGCUUGACACUUGUCACCUUUUAAUUGGUUCAUGUUUAAAACUUAAUAAUUAAGCAUUUCAUUGCCACCACAUAUAAUCUCUCACUUAAAAAAAUAAUGGGUGAAAUUCAUGGGUUUGACCAGUGUCAUGGUGGUGUAAAAUUCCAAAAUUUCUAAUUUCGUCCUUAUGGACACUUAAAAUGACUGUUUUGCCCCUAUGUUCGAAAAAAUGUCGAAAUUGAAAUUUUUCACUUCUCAAAUUCAAAUAAUGUUCUAAUUAAUCAAAUUUAGUCAAAAUAUCAUCCAACAUUCCAAUUUUGCCCUUGGGUGGCAAAAUGACCAUUUUGCCCCAACGUUAUGAAAAUUCCCAAAUUAACUUCAAAUCAAUCCUCGAAUUCUGAAUCAUCAUAUUAAGACAUUCUAAGAUUCAAUAACUGUCAAAUACAUCGUAAAAUCUUUAUUUGGCUUAGUUCGAGGCUUUAAUCAACUUAAUUAUACCACUAGGUACAAUACCGACUUUUAACGAUUUUUCGAUACAUUCGCUUAUGCAAACAUUCUAUCAAGCAUAUGAAUGACAUGACAAGUAUAUAAUAGAGUAGGGCUUGACAAAAAUAGUUCAUCUUUCUCCACACUCUACAUUCACAAUCUUUAUUAAAUCAAGGAUUCACCUUUUCCCAAGUUCCAUAAUUUAAUUCCAUUGGCUAUAUUUGUGCCCAAUUAUUACCUCGUAAUGUCAUGGCAUCAUUUUGUAAUUCCCUCCAUACUUAAAUUUUACAAUCCUUCACUUAAUAACAACAUCCAUUCUAAGUCACCUAUAGCCUUAUUGAUUUCUCCUAUAUCCUUCCGAAUUGUAACUGUAACUAGAAUUCCAAAUUUCAUCUUUCCACGAUUAAUUGGUAAUCAUUUGUCAGGUCUCAUAGUUUCUUGUACCAUUAAUGAGUUUCUACGUCGAUCCUUAAUAAUUAUCCAAGGCGACCAAUGAUGCCAAUCAGGUGAAUAUUCUCCCUCAAUCAUUAUAUCACUAAUCUAUCUUUACUGUAUCAAAGGACUCCAAUAUGCAUCAAGUCAUUAAAACAACUACUUCAUAAUCCAUUUAAGUCAUACAAAAUAAAAGCCAACUCUUAACUCCUUUGUAUAGAUAACUACUACUAUUUCCCUUACACCCAUCUGUCUAGACUUAAAGUGAUACGAACUUUAACGAAAAUAUUAUGUGUCUUUAGGAUCCUUGUUGCCACAAUCAAGGCACAUCGACGAAUUCUCUUCCGGGUCCUUUUCCAUCUCUUGAGAUUUUUCCAUUUUAUCCUUAAUCCAAGCUUGUUGCUACCUCUCAAAUUCCUCCUUACUAAUAGGUGUAGCACCUCUCCCACAACCAGGAGGAAAGUGUCAAACAAUGGAUACAGAUACCUUUUUAGGACGAUAAUUACUGAUAAUCUUUUUUUCCAUCUUGUUCGUGUUCUUUUUCCUCGGAUCGAUUUCAUUAUGCACUAGUCUUGCGAGACUCCUUUUAAAUAGUGGUUUACCUCUUAGGGGAACCGAUCCACUCAGAAAUCGAGUCAAGUUACUUGUUACGCUUUCACCCUCGAGCAUAUAUCGGCUCUGAGCAGUGGAAACUAGCGAUCUUUCGCUUGUAUUAUGAGGGGUAUCGAGAUUAUCGUCUUUUCUAGACAUGACGUGUGCAACCGGUGCACCUCUACCUAUACGUAACCAAGUAUUAUUUACUCAUCCAUCUAAACAUCAUAAGAACAGGUAAGUUUCUAAUGAAGUAAGGGCCCAUGUAGCCUCCUAUCCUUGACUUGCGUUGCGCACCCACAAUCUAAGGACAAAACUCUACACGAACUCCAAUAACUUCAUCGACCACACAGGAAUCCCUAGGACUCAUCUAAACCUAGAGCUCUGAUACCAUAUCUGUCACAGCCUAAUUUCUAGGCCAUGAUCGACGUAAGGGCCCAAUGGGCUCAGCCCACUAAGCCCAAGCAAGCCUACUUAAUUGAUCUUAUACAUUAAUCCCUAUUCCUUUAGAAUCUAAAGCUCGAAAUGUUCAAAUACCGUUUCUUUGAAAACGAUUCAUAAAACCCAAUCAUACAUUCAUAAUGGCAUCAUCCACCAAUAUAUACAUUAAUAGAUUAACAAUGAUUCUUAAUGUUCACAUUAAAUAUUCACAUACACAUUACUAGACCUUGACCGUCAGCGUAGUGACUUUGGGCACAAUUGAUAGCACUUAGUGUCACAUUAAACCUACCGAGCAAUGUACAGGGAGGAGCACCUCGUCCUAGGAUCCAAUCACCUUUAACUCAAGAAACCUAAAACAUGAAUUUUAAAAACGUGAGUAUAAACUCAGUGAGUAAACAUAAGAAGGGAACAAGCAUCAAUACUGGAGGUUUUAGAAAUCAUGAUGCAUUUAUGUUGAAGACAAUGCAAUUUAACUCAAUUUCUUGUCACAACGGAAAUUUGUCUUUGCUAUGGUGAAAAUCAAGUCGAAACCAUUUCUCAAGUUUUAACAUAAAAAAAUCAAUGCAACCACAAUAUAAUUUCCAAAACCUCUAUAUAUAUAUAUCAUAUAUAAACAUAUAUAUAACCACCGGCCUCACCCCCAACUUUGUCUUAGCUUAUAUAUAUAUCAUAUAUAAACCGUUUCUAUAUAUUUACUAUAUAGAGAUGUUUGGAUUUAAUGUCAUGACUCAAAUUUCGGGCCAUGACCUGCUCAUGGGCCCAAUGGACGUAGUCCACUAAGCCCAAGCAAGCCUAUUAAUAUAACCUUUUCACCAUUCCAUUAAAAGUUGCUAAGUCACAUUUUAUAACUUUGAAUCAAAAUAAUACUAAACAUUGCCAUCUUAUAGUGGCAUACCAAUCAAAGAGUACAUAUAUUAUCUAAACAUAAUUUAAUAAUUUACAUCGGUUUGUCUAUACACAACAAAAGAGUACUCGACUUCCAGCGAAGAGACUCGGAUGAAUGUACAGCUACUGAAUGCCAAAACACCUACCAAGGGUCGAAUAUACGAAGACACUUCGACCUAGUUACCAGUUGCCUCGUGAUCUGAAAACAUGAAGUUGAAAACGAUGAGUAGAAACCCAGUGAGUGAACAAAAAAGGAACAAGCAUACCAUAAGGAAUGUUUAAUGAAAUCAUGAUGCAUUCAUUUUUCAAAACAAUGCAAUUUGUUUUAGUUCUUAUUAAAGCCCUUCAUGUAAAACCCACAUGAGUAAAUCAUUUUAUGAAAAGGGUCCAUGCUCAACAAAGGAUUUGGAGAGUGAAAACUUUAAUAGCAUUCAUACGAAUCAAAUCAAAUAAAUGACGGGUCCUCGCUACAGCGGAAAGGCAUUCUCGCCGCAGCGUAGCUGUAGCGAGAAUGAAUUUUUGCUGCAGCGACACUUGAUUUAAAUUAUCAACUAAUCAAGGGUUUCUUAACUAGCCGAGGGUUUCUCAACAAACCUCCUCAUUUUAAACUUAAUUCAUUUAUUCCUUAAUGUUGAAAGUCCAUGCUCAACUAUGGUACCAAAGAAAUGAUAAAUAGGGCAGCAACCGAACCAAUUGAGGAGCAAAACAGAAAGUUUUUUGCUGCAGCGAGAUUCAAUCUCGCUACAGCGAAAUUUUUGGUUUCAAACAGAAAGUUUCUCGCUACAGCAAGAAGCUACAGUAACAUUCUCACUACAGCGAGAUUCUGGCCAGCACCACCCCUCCAAACUAGAGAGUUUCUCGCUGCAGCGAGAAACAGGGCACCAACAACAAAAAAUUCCAUUCCCUUCAAGAAAAAGCCAUCCUGCUGUGUUAACAAAAACAACAUGAAACACAUAUAAAUUCCCAAAAUUCAACCAGUCAAAUUCUCACAUUUUGCAUUACAACCAUAUACCAUAUAUGUAUAUAUAUAUAUAUAUAUCAAUCAUCAUGUCAUCAUGCACACCUUCCCAUCAUCAUCAACUCAUAUGCAUCAACUUAUGUGCACUCCCACUCGCACAUAGCCGGGUCAGCAUUGGCUUAUGCUCACUCUCACUUGCACAUAGCCAAGUCAACAUCGGCUUAUGCACACUCCUACUCACACAUAGCCGGGUCAAUAUCAUUACAAAACAUUAUUUAUAUAUAUAUAUAUAUAUAUAUAUAUACAUAAUGUAGUAAUACAACAAUCCAUAACAGCCAUAUGUCACACAUAGAGACAAUUUAUCAAAGCCUUGUUCCUAAGGCACCCGUUUUAAGAAAGAUUGAAUAAAUCAUCCACAUUCCCAAAACUAUUUUUGAAAUGCAAGUUCACUCACCGGUAUCUUGUUGAACUUUUUGUCGACUUUACUUCUCUAAUUGUCCAAAUGGGGUGAUGGGGCUUCGUUGGAACCUAUUAUCACAUUAGCAUCACCAUUAAUUCAAGCCAUACACUUAUAAAUUCUAAAAGCUUUUUCUUAGAUAGCUUCAAUGGCCAUUUAAAUGGCUAUCUAUUCUCACUACCCUUAUCACUCUAAAAUGAAGGAACAACCCCAACUGCCAAUUCACCCCCAAAUCUAAACACUAAUCAUUCUCAACAUUAAAAUCAACUUUAGUUUACUACUCACCUUAAUAGCUUUGUAACCUUGAAAUUCUUUCCAACAAUUUCAAAGCUAUUAUAAGGGCUUUCUUUCUCUUUCUCUCUCUAAACACCUAGCUAGUGAAAGAAAGUAUGGAAGUGGGAUUUUUCAAGGGUUUUAAAGUGAGAAAGUGAAAGAGCACAAGGGUUCUAGUGAAAGGACACAAAUGUAUGAAAAUUAGAGCUAGAGAGAGAAAGUUAUGAAAGUUUCAUACCAAGCUUCCAUGGAGGAUGGAAGCAACGUUAGAUGGAAGAAGAAGAAGAAAAAAAGCUGCUAGAGAAUGUAGAAGCUACUGGACGAAAGAGAUAUUUAUAGCCCAAGCUUAUCCACUCCACUUAAUUUACCAAAAUGCCUCUCCACAAAUUAGCUUAUUCUCUUCCAAUCGUUUAUGCAAUCUUUUUACUCUUUUGACACUGGGACAAGUCCAUAAUGGUCUAGAAAUGCUCAGGUUCAUGAAAACUUAAAAAUUCUUACCCGAGGUGAAAAAUGACCAUUUUGCCCCUAUCGUGAAAAUCAUCAAAAUUUUUGUUUCCUUGUCAUUUUACCCAUAUUUUCAUCAUUCAUUUAUGCCUUAGGCCUACUUAGGCCUUAAUAUUGUUUAAAACUUUUAAGGGCUUACUAAGGAAAUGACGAAAUUACCCCUGAUCAAGGAUAUCGUGUGUACUUCUAUCUACGAGUCUAUAAAGGUUAAGGUCUCACAUUUAAUAUGUGAUUGCAUUGACUGUUGAAAACUUGAGUAUUGUCAAUGUGUUCAAUUUAAUGUGCAAUGUGGCAUGAGUGGAAUUUUCUCGAUGGCAGUGAAAGUCCCUUGGAUUUUAUCUAGCCAUAAUUUCAUUGUAGAGAAAAUGCCUUUUCACUGCGGUGAGAGUCAAUCUAUUAUGCUUGGCUUGCUUGAAUUCUACUAAAGUUUUCACUUCUCAACUUCUUUGUUGUACAUGAGUCUUUCGUCAUCAAGUGACUAAACAACCAAGGGUUUGAAUGAAGGGUUUUUAAAUAAAAAUAAACUAAAUUGCAUUGUUUUGAACUUAAGUGCAUCAUGAUUUCUAAACCUUCCGUAAUGUUGCUUGUUCCCUUCCUAUGUUCACUCAUUGAGUUUGAACUCACGUUUUUAAAAUUCAUGUUUUAGGUUUUUCUAAGUUAAAGGUGAUUGGAUCCUAGGACGAGGUGCUUUUUCCUAUACAUUGCUCGGUAGGUUUAACGUGACACUAAGUGAUAUCAAUCGUGCCCAGAGUCACUCCGCUGACGGUCGAGGUCUAAUUAUGUGUAUAUGGAUAUUUGAUAUGAAACAUUAAGGUUCAUUUGUUAUUCUAUAUAUGUAUAUAAUGGUUAAUAAUGCCAUUGUGAAUGCAUGACUGGGUUUUAUGAAUUGUUUUCAAAAGAAUUAUAAUUGAGUACUACGAAUUUCGAAUUCUAAAGGAAUAUGGAUUAAUGUAUAAGAUCAUGUAAGUAGAGUUGCUUGGGCUUAGUAGGUUGAGCCCAUUGGGCCCUUGCGCCGGUCAUGGCCUGAAAAUUGGGCUAUGACAAAUCUCCUUAUAAUUUUUGAUAUACCAUAAGCAUGAUCAUCAUAAAGCGUUGAUCUAGACUCUAUAUGUUGGGAUUAUAAUCAAGAUGAACAGUUGAGAACAUAUAUUCAAUUAAUGGAGUUCAUAGCACUAACAUCACUUCUACUGAUUUCAGGAAUACUGGUGAUUAAUCUAAGCCUAGUAGAUUGAUGAAUUAGCUACUCAUCACAUUUGAAUACUCAAAAGAUUAGAUCUAGAGUAUUGAUACACUAAUUGGAUGAAAUUUGAGACUAUGGGACAAAAUUAACAUAAAGGGGAAAACUGUAAAUUCACUUUUGUCAUUGGAUGGUUAUAAGGGUUCACAAUAUAAGGUUUGCAAUUAGACAACUAAUAAUUAAUAUCAUGUAUUGAAUUAUUUCUUGUAAUUAUAGUUAAUCCAAGAGUGCAACCAUGAAUCUAUGAUGGAGUGAUUUCAUGGUUAAUAAGCUUGAAUUAUUUUUAAUGAGAUUAUGAAUAAUUCUAAGUUUAUUAGAGCUUGGAAUAUCUAUGUCCAAAUAGAUUCCCCACUUAACUUUGAAGAAUUCAACUUGUUUAAAUUAGAAUACAUGUUUUAUUUGAUUAAUUAAAUUAUGUACAAAAAUGGUAGUUUUAACAUGUUUGUCUUAAUUUAAACAAGAAAUCAUGUUUGGUCUUAGUUUAGACAAGAAAAUAUGUUUGUCUUAAUUUAGGACAAGAAAAAUAUUUUUAUCUUAAUGUAGACAAGAAAACAUAUUUGUCUCAAUUUAGACAAGAUAAACUAUUUUUGUCUUAAUUAAAAAUAAGAGUUGUCUUAAAUUAAGAUAAUGCUAGGAAGAUUCUUGCGAAAUGAAUCUAGACAUCCAUGUUGAUAAAAAGAGAUUCCAUGUUUGACUAUCACUCUUUUAUUCAUUAUUAAUUCUUUUUAAAUAAAAAUAGAUAAUAAUAAAAUAAGAAUUAUUAUUUAACAUGGAGUUUUAUUUUAUCAUGAACUCUAAAUGAUAAUUGAAGAAUUAAAUUAUUUAUUCUUUAAUUUUAAUUUUGAUAAUUAUGGAGCAUGUUUGAUGCUUCCAUAACUCUAAAUAGAUGGUGAAGAUUAAUUCAAAGGUAUUUGAUAUUGACUAAACAUUUGAGGCACGAGUUUUAAUGAAAAGAGAAGAGAUUGGAACAAAAAAAACAUACAUAUGUACUUUUCUUGAAAAAGUUUUAGCCGUCACUUCCCUCUUCCUCUUAACUUUGCCGUAUCUCUUUUCUUCUCUCCUAUUCUUGGUUGAAUUUUUUGAAAGAUAAAUAGCCAUUAAUUUGUAGGAAGAAAAGAGUGACAAAAUUGAUUGCCAUAUUGUAGUUUAGCAUUCCACACCUUUGUCUACUCAAGGUUCAGGUUGAAAGCAUUAUUGAAGAGUACGUGGUAAACUUGUUUGAUCAAGAAAUCAAUCGUUGGUGUGGUGGUGUCCAAAAAUAAGAAUCUAAAAAAAGGGUACCUUUUUUUUUUGUCCAAAAAUAAGAAUCUAAAAAAAAGGUACCGUUUUUUUCUUACUUAAUAGAUUCUUAUUUUUAGGAUGUGAUUAUGUUACUUGCAAUAAGAAUGAUGUGUGUUUCCACUUGUGUAAUUGGAUUGUUUGCUUCGUUUAUAAAAGAAAAUUUUUGAAAUCAAUGCUUUACACAAUCACAUCAAUCUAGUUAGACCCAACUCCAACAAUCGGGGUUUUACUUACGUAGUAUAGACAAGUGGAAAAAUGAGUGAAUACUAGAAAGAUCCAGGAUAGUGCCAAUCUAUAAGCUACUGCACCAACUCUUUCUAGCAUCUUAAAUGGUCCAAUGUAUCUCGAGCUUAACUUGCUUUUCCUUACAAAUCUCACAAUAUUGUUGGUAAGCAAAACUCUGAAGAAUACAUGGUCACCCACCUCAAACUCCAAAUCACAAUGUCUAUGAUGGGCGUAUGACUUUUAUUGACUCUUGGCUAUCAAUAACCUAUCUUGCAUCAAUGAAAUCUUACUAGUGGCUUCUUGAACCAUCUCUUGUCCAAGUAGCUUACGCUUAGCAACCUCUAACCAAGCGAUAUGGGAUCCACAUGUAUGCCCAUACAAUGACUCAUAAGGCACCAUCUCAAUGCUAGCCUAAUAACUGUUGUUCUAGGUGAACACUAUCAAAGGUAAGUGUUGGUCCUAAGAGACUUCAAAAUCAAUGACACAAGCUCAUAUCAUACCCUCUUAAGUCUGUGUAGUCCUUUUAGACUACUUAUCAGCCUGAGGAUGGAAAACAAUGCUAAAAUUAAGCUUAGUCACUAAAGCCUUUUAUAAUUUACCCCAAAAUCGACUAGUGAACUAGGUACCUCUAUCUGAGACCAUGGUAACUAGAACUCCAUGAAAUCGCACAAUCUCCUCAAUGUAUAGCCUUGCAUACUAUUUCGGCCUAUAGGUGGCCUUCAGUGGUGAGAAAUGUGUAGACUUUGUCAAUCAAUCCACGAUAACCCAAAUAGAAUCAUAUCCCUUACUAGUGCGAGGUAGUCCCAUCAUAAAAUCCAUCAAUAUGUGUUCCCACUUCCACUUAGGUAUAAUUGAAGGCUUUAACAACCUUACGGGCCUUUGAUGCUCCACCAUAACUUGUUGGCAUACUAAACACUUAGCCACAAGCUUAGCUAUAUCUCUUUUUAUACCUUUUUAGCAAUAUACUUCUCUCAAAUCAUGGUACAUCUUGGUGGAUCCAAGAUGUACUACAUAAGUUGAUAAAUGUGCCUCAUCAAGAAUCUCCCUCUUGAGACCAUCCAUAUCCGGCAAAUACACUUUUGCUCCAUUGCAAAGUAAGCCAUCAAAAUCUCUAACAAAGUGCCGCCUCUUUCUCCCUUAGGCAUCAUCUAAGGCCUUGGUCACCCAUUCAUCCUUAUCUUGAGCUUCCUUAAUGCGAUUAAGUAGCAUAAGCCUAACUCGAAAAUGUGUUAAUGUAAUUUCAGUCUCAUUAACCUCAAAAUGUACUCCCAUGUUUCCUAAUCAAUAGAUAUCUCUCAGCAACGGUGAUAUAGGUCAAACUCCCAUAGACAUUCGACUUAAAGCAUUGGUUACCACAUUGGCCUUGUUGAGAAAAUAUAAGAUAGUACAAUCAUAGUCUUUAAGUAACUUUAUCCAUCAAUGUUGACUAAGAUUGAGAUUUCUCUACUAAAAAAGGUAUUUGAGACUCUUAUGACCGGUUUAGGCCUUACACUUCUCCCCAUAAAGCUUAUGUCUCCAAAUGUUUGGUGCAAACACAAUGAUAGCCACAUCUAAGUAAUGUGUAAGAUAGUUUUACUCCUGCGUUUUCAACUAUCUAGAGGCAUAAGAUAUGACUUUGUCAUGUUGCAUUAAUACAUAUCCCAAACCAACACGCGAGACAUCACAAAAAAACAUAUAUCCACAUAUUCCUUAUGGUAGGCUAAGUACCAGAGCUGAAGUAAAACAACUCUUGAGCUUCCUAAAACUCUCCUCACAUGCCUCGUUCCAUUGAAACUUCCCAUUCUUUUGAGUCAAUCUAGUCAUGGGUGGUGCGAGUCCUUGAUGAACCUUCUAUAACAUCCCAUCAAACCUAAGAAGCAGCGGAUCUCCAUCAUAGAGGUUAACCUUGGCCAUUUCUCCACGGCCUCUAUCUUUUUUAGGUUUACCAUAACACCUUCCUUAGAAAUCACAUGACCCAAGAAGUUAACACUGUCAAGCCAAAAUCCACACUUAAAGAAGUUAGCAUAUAAUUGGUGAUCUCACAACACUUGAAGCACAAUCUUAAAAUGUAGCUCAUGUUCCACCUUACUCCUUGAGUACAUCAAAAUGUCAUCAACGACUACCACCACAAAACUAUCCAAGUAUAGUUUGAACACUUGAUUCAUCAUAUCCAUGAAAGCUGUGGGGGCAUUUGUGAGACAAAAGGACAUAAUCAAAAACUCAUAAUGCCUAUACUUAUUAUGGAAUGUAGUCUUAGGCACAUCCUCUUGCCUAAUCCUAAAUCAGUGGUAACCUAAACGAAGAUUAAUCUUGGAGAAACAUUGUGUUCCUUGCAACUAAUCAAACAAAUCAUCAAUAUAAGGAAGUAUAUACUUAUACUUUAUAGUCACCUUAUUGAGUUGUCAAUAAUUAAUGCAUAAUCGAAGUGAUCCAUCUUUCUCCCUCAGAAAUAACACUGGUGCACACCAUGGUGACAUACUAGGGUGGAUAAAACCCUUGUCCAAUAAAUCCUUCAACUAAUCCUUAAGCUCUUUAAGCUUUGUCAUUCCCAUACGGUAUGGUGGAAUAGAUAUUGGUUAGGUAUCCGGUAUCAAGUCUAUGCAAAACUCAACCUCCCUAUUUGGGGGUAAGGCAAGUAGUUUUUCUAAGAACACAUCAAAAGACUCCCUCAAGAUGGGCACAUUGACCACAUUUCCAACCUUUACCUGAAUAUCUCUAAUAAUUGCCAAAAAUCAUUGGCAUCCAUGCCGUAACAACCUCUUUGUCGUCAUGACAAAAAUCACAUUUAUUGGAGCAAUACUACGAUCUCCUUGAAUACUAAAAAAUCUUUUCUAGGUAAUUGAAUCUAAUUAGCUUGUGGUGGCAAUCCACACUAGCAUAAUUUAUAGAUAUAACCAAUCAUGCCUAAAAUCACAUUGAAGUCCAGCAUAUCAAGUAUAAUCAAAAUGGCUCAUGUGUCCUUGUCCCUUAUUUAGAUUACAUAAGACAUAUACUCAAAUUGCGCAAUAAACACCUUUUUAAGUGGAGUAGUCACUACCAAACCAAACUCCAUCACAAUACACUCAAUACCCAACUUCAUAGCAAAGCAUGGAGACAUGAAAAAUGCAUAGAACUAGGAUCAGAAAGAACACAUGCCUCAGAGCCAAAAAUAAGAAGGAUACUUGAAACUAUGACAUUGGACAUCUUAGCAUCCUAAGGUGACAAAGCAUAAACCUUGGCCUAUCCCUUAUUAGCUGCUCGUUGAUUCACAGAUUGAGAUGCUCUAUCUUGAGAAGAAUUAGCUACACCUUUACCCCUAACUCCAAUAGUUGCUUGGAUCGGCUCUGCUGUCACACAAGUCGUAGUAAGGUAGCUUAUGAUGUAGGGUGUGAGACCUCAUGAGACAAUGAUGCCAUAAAAUAGUCCAUCUUCAUGUGCCUUAGCUGUCUAUAUCAAGAACAAAGUGAGACUAAUUGGGUAUUAGACCUUCAAGCCUACUACCUAGACACAAGGUGUGAUCUCUUAUCAUGUCGAGAUCUUGAGCUGAUUGUACGACUCUUUUGCUAGGAACCAUGAGAUUGAGAUGCUCUGUACUAACCCUGAUGGCCUAUGGACAAUCCAUGUCUAGUAUUAACUCAUUUUUGGCCCUGAUGGCCCUCAAUCUUAACACUUUUGGCUCUAACUCAUGUUGUCCGACUCGUCACGAGCCUCGACGCUAUCCAUUGAGCACUAUACACUAUUAAGGGAUAAUUACUAAAAGUUUGUGAUGCGACGACCUUAAAUAGUAAUUAUACCAACCCAUCUCAAAGUGUCAAAUCCUCAUGUCCUCAGUAAAAAUAAGGUACGGUACAUAUUAGGAUAAGUAUGUAAACCGGAUGUCGUACUUUGACACUAUCAUGCCUAGCACUAGUGCCUCAAACUCACGUGCCUUGGCUGCUUGUGCAUUGUCUAAUAGAAAUCGACUUAGAAAAGUUGCAUAAAAAUUAUCCCAUAUCAUUGCAUCAGCACCAACUGAUCUACCUCUAUUCAAAGACUGAUACAACUAAUAACCUACAUCCUUGAUCUUAAAACUAGUUAACUCCACUAACCAAACAUCAGAACAUCCUAAAGCAAUACAAAUCUUCUCCAUCUCAUCCAAGAAUAUCUAGGGGUCCUUAAUCGCAUCAGAACCAGAAAUGAGGGUGGUUUCAUCUUAAGAAAAUCUGGUAGUGAAACCUCUAUAGUCCCUUGAGUAAACUUAGAUUGAUGUUGGUCAUCCUGACCUUGAAAGCUAUGUGUAGUAGGCAUUGGUUGUCAUCCCUAUACUUGACACUAAAGAUCAUCUAUACAAGUGGACAUUAGCUUCAUUACCAUAAUAACCCCUUGCAGAUUAGCUACCCAUGCAUCUACCAAGGUUAGUUCCCCAAUGGCUACCUCUUCUUUAACUUUUUGAGAUUGAGUAUCAACUAGCUCCUAUAUUAGUGCCUCAGCGCUAGUUGCUAUCGAUGGCUUUUUAUUAGCAAACUUGGUGGUCCUACACUAUCAUGACCUAAACUUGAGGGCCAUGAUCUGCGUAGGGGUAUCAAUGGGAGUUAUCCUCUUAACCCAUGCAAGCCUAAAAUGAAUAAAGUAAAACAAAUACUCAAAAUUACCUUAUGGGACUCAUCACCAUGGGACCGUAUGUCAACCAUGUAUGAACAUAUUAUAUCAUAAAGGAUAUGUAUAUAUCAUAUUAAGUUUCCAUGCUUAGAUGCAAAAACAAUACAUAUCAAAUUAACUAGUAUGGUUAUCCUGUGGCAAAUACAAUGUGUAGCCAUCUCAUGGCAAAUCUCAAAAUACAUGUCAUAUAAUAUAAGGCAUAAGCAAAAUAUUGUCAAUAGUAGCCAGACAUGAUUGACUAACCCAAAAAAGACUAGUGGAGUACAACUCAAAAAUAAAAAGGUUGACGCCUAUUGGAUGCCAUAUUAUCACCUACCAAAAACUGAUUAAAGUGUUGGCUCUUCCCAAAGGAUAGCGAGCCAAUCAACUAUUGAUCUGCAAAACAAGUGCAUCUUACAUGUGUGAGUUAUAAAUAACUCUAUUUAUAAAUAACUCUAUGGGUAGAUACAAGGAGGGAGAACAAGCAUAAUGGAUGAGUGUUUGUCAAAAAUACAUUUUAAAAUAAUGCAAGUAAUCCAUUUCAAUCAACGUCAUAUUUGCUUUCCAACCAUAACAAAUAUUCAAAAAGCUGGGAACUCAAUUCCCGAGCACAUUCAAACAUCCCAAGGUGCAAGUUAUAAGUCAAGUAUGAACAAGUAUCCAAAACAAACCUCCAUACCAUUGUCUUGAUGGUACAAACUAAUAUAAAAUGAUUUCAUAGGGUCUUGUUGAAAUCCUGUUCAUAGGCCUUUGAAAUGAGAAUAAUAGUUUGUAAAACAUUUAAGUAUUUUCAAGGAAACAAUUUAAGAGAUAUUUGGUUUUAGAGCUUUGUAAAAGAUGUAGUAAAACGAAGGUUUAGUUUCAAAGGAAAUGAAUUAAUAUUAUCUUUAGCAAAUCCUUGAAAAAAACAAAAGGAUUUCAAAAUAACAUAAUUUGCAUUACAUCGAGUGGAUUAAGUCUAAAUACCAAAGUUAGGUCAAAUACCCAAUCCAAAGUUCAAGAUCGAGAAAAAUACCAGAUACAAAUGUCAAAAUCUAAACCAUUAACAUCUCAAGCACCAAGGUUGAAACAAAUGUCAAGUUUGAAAGUCGGAGUCUAAACAAAUACCAAAUCUAAUGUCCAAAGUCUAAACAAUGUCAAUUCCAAAGUCCAAAAUUCAAAACAAACAUCCAGUUCAAAUCCCAUAGUAUCAAAUAUCAUUUUGAAUAAAUCAUGGAGCAUUAUGUAGCAUGCACAACCAAAUCAAAGAAUGUUGUAACACCAACGAGGUCAGAUACAUGAUAAUCAUCGAUCGUAUAUCAAAGGUCGUAGGAUCGUAUCAACUACCAAAUUAAACUAAAUCAAAGCAAAUCAUUGUGCACAAUGGCCAGUGGCUACUGUCACUAGCUAGAAGUCCGUGACUCAAGUAGGCUCCACUGAAACAUUUCUAUGACAUGUUUCCAAAUACACAAAUAUUCAUUUCCAAAUUAAAAGGUAAAUUCAUUUGCCAUCUAGGUCCAGAGGGUUUGAAACCAAAAAUGAAAUCAAAGUGUUUAAGUCCAUUCUCAAACAAGGGAUGAAUCCAAUUAUUAAUAAAGCAAUUGUUCAUAGAUAAACAUCUAUUUUAAGGCAUCAAACAAUUGAAAGGCUUGUUUCCCAUGCUCAAAAGUAAAUACAUACUAGCAUAUUUACAUAGUAUAUCUAUAUAUUUUAUAAAACAAGCUUAAAACCAUUGUUCACAUCACAAAUUUUGACCAAAUGCAUUUUAAUGCAAGGUUAUAGAAUAGACAUGCUUAAUUAUAUUAAAAUAAUUAAAAAAUGUUGUAUCUACCCACCUUUUGUAGAGUGCUUUUUUCCCUCUUGGCACUUUUGUCUAAAGCUUAGCUUUUCCAACAACUUAAAUUACUCCAAUACCACCUAGAAAUGAUGUUCAAACAUAAAUACUCUCAAAGUCGUAAUAAAAUUAUAUUCAAUCAUCAAUAUCCUCAAAAACCCUUAAAAUUUUAGAACACUUUAAAUACCUAUUUCUAACCCCAUUUAAUCUUCACUUAUUUCUACCAAACUUUCAUCCAAACUUCAUACCCAUUAAGUAAACAAAUUAUUUUACCUAUUUUUCCUCCUUGGUGACCUUUAAAUGAAGGGAUCUAGCCAAAUCUUGAAAACGUUAAAAAAUUCCUAGCAUUUAGAAAAAGAAAACAAAAAUCACCAAAACCAAGUUUUUGGGAGUGAAAAUCCUUACCUUUGGCACUUAAAAUCCAAGAUUUGUUGAUGGAUUUUGAAGGUUAUGAAAGGUAGGAAAUUUGAGAGAAAAUGGGUUGGAGAACAAAAGAUAGGAGCAAAAUGACGAAAUUUUCAAUGUUAGGGCUUUUAAGCUUGUUUUAAGCUUAUUGGACAGCCUAAGAUCGACUAUGGAGAGCUUAUAGUCGAUCCCGGACAUGUAGGUUUGGUAUUCUACCCAUUUCUCUUUCAUAGGAUCAACUAUAGAAGGUCUAUAGUCAAUCUUGGACCAGAAUGUCCAUUUCUACUUGAUUUUCCUUCACAGGAUAGACUAUAGAGGGUCCAUGGUUAAUCUUGGACUAGUAGGUUGACAUUUUCUUCAUUUUUCCUCAUUAGGAUUGACUAUAGAGGCUUUAUAGUCAAUCCUUGGUCAAAACCCUUGACUCCUCUUACUUCACUUCACAAGAUUGACCUAUAGUCGAUCCUUGGCUAGAACCUUUGUCUUCUCCUACUUUUCACUUCACAAGAUUGACCCUUUAUGCACUGGGAUCGACUUUCUAGGUCCAGAUUGGUGAAAAUUGUUUCUUUCAAGGCGUAAUCUCCUUCUAAAUCUCUCCCACAGCCUCCAUGACUUUUAAUUAUGAAUUUUCAAGGAUGAAAUUGAGGUUUUUAAGUCAACAAAGGUAUUUCCUAAGCUCACCAAGUUAAUUGCCCAAGUGAUGAAAUUUACAAGUUUCACAUGCCCUACCUGCCAUGACCUCUAACAAUGGAAGCUUGUGGUCUAGCAGUAAUAUGAAUGGAAGUGUCUUUCACUACUAUACCCCUAGCUGUUGCUCAUGUCAGAGGUGGCAUCUUGACUUGGACAAGAGUAACACUGAACAUUUCAAUUCCUUAAGAAAUGCUUUAAUCAAUAUGACCAUAUAAAUUUUUCGUUCUUAAGAAAGAAUGUUAUCUAUACAAGCACAUAAGAUCAACAAAUUCAAGCAUUUACUCAUCCAUUAAUUUUCAUCAAGAACAAGUCAUAAUAGCAUUUACAACAUGUGAAAAAAUUGUUCAAGCUAUAUAUCAACAUAAGCUUAAGCAUGGCAAAUAAUUUUCUCCUAUAGGCUGAUAUUAAUGAAAUCAAUUCAAGUAGUCAAGUAUUGUUAUGCUUAAGUUUAACCAUUUUGAACUUAUGAAUUCGAUUCUAAAAUUUCAAAGCAAGGUUGUUCAAAAGGUUAACAUAUCUUAGACAAAAGGAAAUUUAGAAAGAUUAACUUUUAGGCUCAAAUUUCCUUGUUUAGAAUACUAGCAAGUUAUCAAAGGUGUUUAUGUUAGUAUCAUAUCAUCCUCAUCAAAUCAUUAACGUUCAUAUGUAAACGCAUUUUGUAUUCCCAUUCCUUGCAAUCAAUAAUUUUGUAUAAUCAACACUCAACCUUAUAUUUUCAAGCAUAUACACCAUGAAUGCUCAAAUAAGUAAUUCGCAAUCAAUCAAGCAUUCUUCAAAAUUUAAAAGAGAUAAGAAAAUAGAUAUCACAUUGCUCUUCCUUGUUAGUGAUACCUACAAAAAUCGCUUUCACUAGAUAUUUGGUAUCUAAAUUGCUUUGGAUCCUUGAGGGUUAGUCUAAUCAAACAUACGCACAAGAUAAUAAGUUGAACAAUGAAUGCAUUAGAAAUUUAUGAGUUCAAAAGUGCUCUUACUCCUAUUUCUUAUGUUUCUUGUGAUUUGACAAUAUUCUUCAAUUUCCUAAUUUCUUCUUCUAAACAUUCAUAAUUUCUUUGAAGUGUCUCAAGAUCAAUUUUUAAUUGAAUAUUUUCUUCCAUUAAUGAUUUAUUUUUUAUCUUAAGCUUAGAAAUUUUUUUUUUGGUUAAAGCUAAGAUCUUGAGAUGUAAGAGUUAAGUUUUCAAACAUACUUGCCAAUUCACCAUCCAUAAGGAUAUGUGGUUCAUGAGAGGAAGAACCUACCUUAGAGUUUGGUCUUGAAGUAAAAAAUUUGAUAUUCUCUUCAUCAUCAAUUGAUAAGCUUUCAUACAAGAGAUCAUCCUCUUCUAGUUCUAUUUCAAGUGGUUGCCCAUAUAGCUCAUCUAGCUUGUCUCAUAUCUCCUUGACAUUUCCACAAUUUUGAACUUGAUUGUAUUGCCUCUCUCUAAUAGCACUAAAGAUAAUAUACAUGGCUUUGGCAUUAUGUUCAAUCAAAUUAAGAUCAUAUGAAUUCCAAUUUACCAUGCAUUUCUCUAUUUUGUAUGGACCAUUUUCAAUUUGCUUGCACAUUUGAUAAUCAUUUGCAAUAAUGAAGUGUUUUAUUCUAUAUCUCCAAACAUGAAAGUCUUCACCAUUGAAAUGUGGAGGCUAAAGGUAUGGUGAUCCUUCUUGGGUCUUGCAAUCAUCAACUGCCAUGAGACAAGAGUUUGCAAGUUCAUCAUUCUUUUAAUCUUGGGAGUCGUCACUAUCACUCCAAGUUGCUAUCAUUCCUUUCUUCUUGAAGUGUUCCUCAUGAUUUUAUUGUUAGGACAUUCAUAUUUUGUGUGACUGGGCCUUUUGCAAUCAAAACAUAUUAGAUGAUCUCUUGUAUGAUUUUCCUUAACCAUAUCUUUCCUUGUAGGUUUCCAAUUUCUACUGUUUUUCUUCUUGAAUUUAUUAAAUUUUCUAGCUAGCAUAGCUAUGUCUUCCUCAUUUUCACUCUCACUCUUAAUGCUUCUCUCUUCUUCCUCAACUAUAGAUUUAAGGACUAUUCCCUUUUGUUUAAUCUCUUCUUUCUUAAGUUAUUCUCUCUCAAUCUCAUGUCUAAGUGUCAUUUCAUAAGUGAAAAGAGAACCUAUUAAUUCUUUUAACUUCCAGUCAUUAAGGUUUCUUGUCACGACUCGGUACUCCCUUCGAGCCCGUGACAACCGUCGCGAUGUCCCGAUAGACACUCAUUACCCGAAAUGCCAAUAGGAACCCUACAAGGCUUUAAUAUCAAUUUCUCAUUUUCCCUAUGAGUAACCGUUGCCAAAUAUCAUGUUCCAAAAGAUUUUAAGCUAUUUCCAACUUAAAACAAUAAAAAAAUUAUUUCUGACUCACAGGGGAAUUUUGAUCAUUUUUCCAUAAAAAUUUCGAAACUAGCUAAAAUGUAGUAUGCGAGUACAAAACACAUAAUUCAUAAUCAAAAAUAAGUUUAAACGUCUAAAAUCUUCAUUUAAAAUGAAAUUAUGACUAUUUGAAUAUAAUAAAAAUAUUCCAUUUUCUUAUAAAAUAAUUUUUAUAGAGUUAUCUGUAAGAAAUUUUUGUAGCAUAAAAGUGAAAUAAAUUCAUACAUACUGUAAUACAGAUGGUCAUGGUAUGAAAUUUAAUUUACAAUGACACAUGGGCCCCCAAAUGACAAAAGUGAACGAAGGCUGUGAACCUACGAUUUUUGAGGAAGUAAAGCCAACUGUAGCUUUCGACGAUAUCAGCUAUCUAUAGCCUAUUCUGAGCCUGAAAUGGGUGGAAAGGAGGGUGGUGAGAUUAUAUAAUCUCAGUGAGUAAAGAAACAUCAUCCAAAAUAUCUAAAGUCGAGCAAAUGGAGACGAUUAAAAAUUCCAUCUCAAUAUGUAUUUUGUAACAUAAAUAUUCAUUUCAUUUAAAUAAUCAACAUGGCUUAUUAGUAUCUUAAAAGCUUGGCUCCUGCCAAAAUCAUUCUCGAGAAUACCUUGGUCGAGGCAUCUAACAGAGUCCACCAAGGCUGUUAAAAAUUUCGUAUACACGUAAACAUAUUUUUAGUUUGAAAAACACAACCGUUCCUUGGCAUUAGCGGAGUUCAUCAUCACAAGGUGGUUUAGCGUGACGUGAACUCUAACCAUACCUCAGAAGAUACCCUACGCACCUCUCUGAUCGAGGUACGUAUAUAAACGGAUUUCGUGCCCCUCUAAUAGGCUGGUCCACAGAACCCGCCCACUGCAGCAAGCUAAACCCACCAUACAAUAAAAAUUCAACAGCAUGACAUGGCAAUUUUAUCAUUAUCCAACCUAUCAAGGUAAACAAUAGUUUAUACAUUUUCAACACAAAUACCAAUUCAAUCAUUCAUGCCAAUAUUUCCAUAAGCCAAUCAAUUAGAACCAUAAAUUCACAAUACAUCAAAUGGUCUCCAAUUACUCUAUUUUCAAAGCCAUCAUUCAAUUUCAAGACAAUUUAUAAAAUCAUUUCAUUUAAACACAUUUUGUUUAUAAAACCUAAAAAUUUAACCAUUUAAACUCAUUUUCCAUAACAUUCACAAAAUCGAAUAAAAAGACCAUUUUAGAUAAUUAAAAUGAUGAUAAGGUUACUCACUAUUUCGGGAGUCAAAUUUUUAUUUGACUAUCGAUCCUCGGGUACAAUUUCUUUGCCCUUAUCGGAGGAUUCACCACCUAGACAAAAUGCACAAUCAAGCAAUUUACCACAUUGGUGCUAAAUCGUUAUAAAACUAUAUGGAUGCAUGAAAUGGAAUGCAAAUUGUUCGGAUUAUCGUCUAAACAUGGUGUUCUACACAAAUUCAAUUGUGUACCUAAAUAAAACGAUAUUGGCCUAAUUCGAUCUAUCACUCGAUUAAUUGGCCAAUAUGUCCUAUUCAACUCUAAUUAACUCCAUUUUUCUUCCAAUAAUCCAAACCAUCAAACACAAGUCAAAUAGCAUAAAAUUUAGCAAAAUUAUCUUCACAUUUUCUCUUGGGAAUUUUGGCCAUGGUGGGUGCAUCAGCACUAUGAUUUUUCCUACUUGAUUUUCUCACCGUAAUUCAUCAUUUCCUAACCAAUUCACUUAAAAUAAAAUCAAAUCCACCAUCCACACUCUACAUGGAAAAUUCAGCUAAUGAUGGGUAAUAGGAGGAAGUGAAUUUUUCUUGUUGGCUUUUCAUGCUACACAUCACUAACUAUCUAAAAGUACUAAAAUACAUUGAAAUCUAACCAAAUCAAGCAUCAAAACGUCCCUCUAAGUGUUCGGCCAGCAAGGGAUUCAUCAUGAAAUCAUGUGAUUCAACCAUGGAAAAUGCAAAAGAAUGUAUGGGAAUGGUAGAUCACAAGUCAAAAUCAUGAAAUUUUACCUUUGAUUGCUUGAUUACUUGAAAUCUACUAAUUUUUCUCUUGAAUUUUCACUCUAGGGUUUUUGUUCUUUCUUGUCUUCCUUUGUUCUUGCUUUGGCCGGC